rnacentral:ncRNA from 1 species
GGAAGGCAGCAGGCGCGCAAAUUACCCAAUCCUAAUUCAGGGAGGUAGUGACAAUAAAUAACGAUACAGGGCUUUAUGUCUUGUAAUUGGAAUGAGUACAAUGUAAAUACCUUAACGAGGAACAAUUGGAGGGCAAGUCUGGUGCCAGCAGCCGCGGUAAUUCCAGCUCCAAUAGCGUAUAUUAAAGUUGUUGCAGUUAAAAAGCUCGUAGUUGAACUUUGGGCUUGGAGAAUCGGUCCGACUAUGUCGUGUACUGUCUUCUCCAGGUCUUUCCUUCUGGUUCUCAAUUGGGGCUUGCUCCUUUUGGUGAUCCAGGAUUUUUACUUUGAAAAAAUUAGAGUGUUCAAAGCAGGCGUUUUGCUCGAAUAUAUUAGCAUGGAAUAAUAGAAUAGGACGAAUGGUUCUAUUUUGUUGGUUUCUAGGACCAUCGUAAUGAUUAAUAGGGACGGUCGGGGGCAUCAGUAUUCAGUUGUCAGAGGUGAAAUUCUUGGAUUUACUGAAGACUAACUACUGCGAAAGCAUUUGCCAAGGACGUUUUCAUUAAUCAAGAACGAAAGUUAGGGGAUCGAAGAUGAUCAGAUACCGUCGUAGUCUUAACCAUAAACUAUGCCGACUAGGGAUCGGGCGGUGCCUUUUAUUGGCCCACUCGGCACCUUACGAGAAAUCAAAGUUUUUGGGUUCUGGGGGGAGUAUGGUCGCAAGGCUGAAACUUAAAGGAAUUGACGGAAGGGCACCACCAGGAGUGGAGCCUGCGGCUUAAUUUGACUCAACACGGGGAAACUCACCAGGUCCAGACACAAUAAGGAUUGACAGAUUGAGAGCUCUUUCUUGAUUUUGUGGGUGGUGGUGCAUGGCCGUUCUUAGUUGGUGGAGUGAUUUGUCUGCUUAAUUGCGAUAACGAACGAGACCUUAACCCUUAAAUAGGUUGGCUGGCUUUCGCUGGUUAACCUUCUUAUGGGGACUAUCGAUUUCAAGUCGAUGGAAGUUUGAGGCAAUAACAGGUCUGUGAUGCCCUUAGACGUUCUGGGCCGCACGCGCGCUACACUGACGGAGCCAGCGAGCAUAUCCUUGACCGAGAGGUUUGGGUAAUCUUGUGAAACUCCGUCGUGCUGGGGAUAGAGCAUUGUAAUUAUUGCUCUUCAACGAGGAAUUCCUAGUAAGCGCAAGUCAUCAGCUUGCGUUGAUUACGUCCCUGCCCUUUGUACACACCGCCCGUCGCUAGUACCGAUUGAAUGGCUUAGUGAGGCUUCAGGAUUUGCUUAGAUCGAGGGGCAACUCUCUUUCAGAGCGGAGAAUCUAGUCAAACUUGGUCAUUUAGAGGAACUAAAAGUCGUAACAAGGUUUCCGUAGGUGAACCUGCGGAAGGAUCAUUA